UACGAAGGGGGCUAGCGUUGUUCGGAAUUACUGGGCGUAAAGCGCACGUAGGCGGAUCGAUCAGUCAGGGGUGAAAUCCCAGGGCUCAACCCUGGAACUGCCUUUGAUACUGUCGAUCUGGAGUAUGGAAGAGGUGAGUGGAAUUCCGAGUGUAGAGGUGAAAUUCGUAGAUAUUGGGAAGAACACCGGUGGCGAAGGCGGCGCUCUGGACCGAGACUGACGCUGAGGCGCGAAAGCGUGGGGAGCAAACAGG
rnacentral:rRNA from 1 species